UACGGAGGGGGCGAGCGUUAUUCGGAAUUAUUGGGCGUAAAGGGCGCGUAGGCGGCUUGGUAAGUCAAAGGUGAAAUCCCUCGGCUCAACUGAGGAAUUGCCUUUGAAACUGCCUGGCUCGAGGCCGGGGAGGGGGUAGCGGAAUUCCCAGUGUAGCGGUGAAGUGCGUAGAUAUUGGGAGGAACACCGGUGGCGAAGGCGGCUACCUGGACCGGUUCUGACGCUGAUGCGCGAAAGCGUGGGGAG
rnacentral:rRNA from 1 species